GGUGGACGGUGUGCGUAGUGUCCAUCUGCGUUUAGAGCCGUCUCUGGUUUGUGUCUUACAGGCUGUGAGACGGUUCUCACGCCACACUCACAGCCACAGAGCCAAUGGAGAUCAUAGUACUGGCCUAGUGACGUCUAAACGACCAUCCACCACUGGCCAGCCUCCAUAGUCUCCUACAAAA